rnacentral:rRNA from 1 species
AGCGAACGCUGGCGGCAGGCCUAACACAUGCAAGUCGAACGAUCCUUCGGGAUAGUGGCGGAUGGGUGAGUAACACGUGGGAACGUGCCCUUUGGUACGGAACAACUCAGGGAAACUUGAGCUAAUACCGUAUGAGCCCUUCGGGGGAAAGAUUUAUCGCCAUUGGAGCGGUCCGCGUCUGAUUAGCUAGUUGGUGAGGUAAAGGCUCACCAAGGCUACGAUCAGUAGCUGGUCUGAGAGGAUGAUCAGCCACAUUGGGACUGAGACACGGCCCAAACUCCUACGGGAGGCAGCAGUGGGGAAUCUUGCGCAAUGGGCGAAAGCCUGACGCAGCCAUGCCGCGUGAAUGAUGAAGGUCUUAGGAUUGUAAAAUUCUUUCACCGGGGACGAUAAUGACGGUACCCGGAGAAGAAGCCCCGGCUAACUUCGUGCCAGCCGCCGCGGUAAGAC